GGAGAAGACAAGAUGGCGCUGGAGUACCUCCUGUUAUAUCAAAGGGCAUUUUUGUUUACAAAUACCCGCUUAUUUUACGUUUUAGCGACUCGUUAGUCUUGAAAAUUAUAACUCAAUGGACAGGGAAAACGAUUCUGUAUUAAGGAGAAAAAGAUGUGCAGUUAUUGUGAUGUUAUUUGUUGUGAAAGACGGCCCGAAAUUUCGCUACUUCGCUUUACUGGUUUAUAAAACAUUUAAAAGCAACAGCAAUUGAACUAUAUCACAAAGGAACCGAUGUAUACAAGCCAAUCAAGUUCUUCAGUUUAAAGGUCAGUUUACUUUUUAAUAAUUAGUUCAUUUAGUUGUAUAUUAAUACGAAGUACUGGAACAGUACGCCGAGUUUGAUUUGCUAUAUUGAAAUUUGUACUGUAGUCGGAAUAAGAUAAGGUAUGGAUAAACAGAGCCCAACCCCUUCUCUAACCCUAACCAAUAAAUGUGUAAUGAACUAUUUGAGAGUUAAAAAGGUUGGGGGGAAAUUUUAAAAUAUUUUAAUGCACAUAUCAACGGCCUGCCCGGGGGGUACACCCCGGGACAAUCGGGGGGGGGGGGAAUUUGGUAUUUUAUCCGUGUAUUCUGCCCGUGAACCCCGGGGAAAUUACAAACUUCGCAAUAAUAGGACGACGGGGGGAGGGGAAGUAGGGGACUUUGACGUGACAAUUUGAAUUUUAUAAAUGAACUGCACAAUUGAUGCGAACUCAAAAUCGCAGGCUCACGGAGAAAAGUAUCGAUCGUAAACUUAUUAUAUUUUGUAGUGGUCUUGCUAAAAUUUGAAUAAAUAAAUACAGAAAACAUGAGUGCCAUUGUGAUACCCCAGUUUGUAUGAUAAUUUUUAGUUGUUUGUAUGCUAUUUAUAUUAUGAACAACUUUAUUCUAAGCCCCAAGGGGAAUUAAUGCAUUAGAAUCAUGUUUUUUCAAAGUCCUGUGGGUGUACCCCCAGGGCAGGCCGUUGAUAUGUGCAUAAGAAAAAUUUCUACUGUCGUAAUUUAGAAUUAGUAUUUUUGUUCACGUGUGGGACGCGCGAGUCCAAACUUUAAACGCUUCGGAAGGUUCCGGAUUAUACCGGUGGUUGUUGUUUUUUCGAGAAGAGAACUUAAAAACAUGUGGCUGUAAAACUGUGAAAUUGGUGAUUUUGUAAUAGAUAUUAUACUGUGAUUUGUUGUGAUUUAUUUUGGGCGAUACUUGGAGGUAAUCCCCAACACUACUGGCCAGGGUGCAUUCCAUGUAAACUGUACGCCAGACAUACGCCAACAUAUACGAUCCUUUACGCCAAUACAUCGGAGAUUUUCAGUUUUGGGGGCUUAAAUCCAUGUUUUGAAAACAUCUAAUGUGGUGAUUCAUGAAAUCAGGCACAAACUAAUCACUUGUUUUUGAGUGAUCUCACGCCAUUACGCCAACAAUUUUGUAACCUCAUGCUGGAUAUAUCUGGUGUGGAGUGCAUGGAAUGCACACUGGUCUACGGGGCUGUUUAUAUGGAAGCCAGACUGGCCCGCUAAACGAGACAGAUUUUAUAUCGCUUGCUGGCCUAGAAAUUAUUUAAUACAUUGGGUCAUUCCAGAAAACAUCCAUACCACCCCCACAGAGGAAAUAGGAAGUUAACCCCCCUUCGGAUGCAGGGUCUUAGCCAGAGGGCCGUGUUGGCCGUGUUAUCGCAGCCAAAAAGGGAAAAACUAGAGGAAUGUGGAUAUGUUUGUCUGAAGGUUUGAGACUGUGAUAAAGUUAUGUGAUCGGCGAUUAUAAUGAGCACGCAAUUUUUUUCGGCUAUAUGUAGCUCUUGAACACCGGAACGUUUAUGUAACAGCAAUAAUUAUACGUCCACGUAACUCGUAAGCAAAAUAAGCGGCCCACUUUUGCAUGCAUGGCCACCAAAAACUAACUCGCUGUAACAGCGUAUCUUGCAUGUUGAGAAUGAGUCGAAAAUUGACACGCUUUAUUUAUAUAAAAGUUUUGCAGUUUUUGUUUGUAUAUACAGAGCUUUCAAAAUAACCUGGCUGCCGCUGGAGCUCCGGCGGGUGGCACAAGAUUCACCGCCGGUUAUUUUGUUUUGUACUUGAAAUAUCGAUUCUACUUUCCUUCCUCCACUCAUCUCUGAGCUUUCAAACAAAGUUACUUUUCAUCAACCUUGUCUAAUUUAUAGCCUGGUUAUUUUCGAAAAUGACGUACUAUUUCGUUAAAUUAAACCGAUUUAAUUAUUCGCCACCUAAAUGCAACACACAAAUACCCAAAAUGCAAUGUGUGCACCUAAUAUGAAAAAUAAUCGAACAUCUACCUUAUAACUUGCCAUGAACUUUCCAUAAUUUUUUGUCAUAUUUCAAUUAUGUACAUUUUAAUAAAAAAGACAGUCACAAUAAUUAAUGAGUACCGGUAAGCGAUGUAGCAACAUUACGUCAAGGGAAAGUUUGGCAAAUACUAUAUGACUAGUUUAUACUAGGUAUUUUAUACAUGAUUUAAUUUAGUAAGGAGUUUGUCGGUUUACCGUGUCAAAUCCGAGCCCAAGUCAAAUGUUCGAGUCACUAGCUGUUUAGCGGUUUUUGUAGUUCAUUGAUGUCAAGUACCCUACAACAAGUUUAAAGAGCUCAUUUCUAUACAGUACUGUACAUUUAUCAUAUUGUCGUUGGGGGGGGGGGUUACUAUUUUUUAGAAUUCAUGUGAAGGGGGGUCAUUGAAUUUUUUUGUGAUGCAGGGGGUGGGCCAGGACAUUUUGUUUAGUUGUUAAUUGAAUUUUGCCAGCCCACCCCCGGUCAUAAAUAAUGAAUGGUCCCUAAGUAUGCGGCGUUAAAAUGUACAGUAAUUUACUCGUCACUUUGUUUACAAUAAUUAUCACAUGCAUGUUUAAUACUGUAAUCCACCUUUUGUUGCAAAAUUUGAACUAUAAACAUAUUAAAUUAUGUCCAAUGUCCAUUGUAUAUCAUAUACUAUACUGGAUAUAUAUAUUUAUUGCAGUUAUAUUAUUACUAUACUGGAUAUAUAUAUAUAUAUAUAUAUAUAUAUAUAUAUAUAUAUAUAUAUAUAUAUAUAUAUAUAUAUAUAUAUAUAUAUAUAUAUAUAUAUGCCGUUUUAACUUUUUAGUAUGCCCCAGUUGCGGUCUGUAUACGAAACUAACGAAAGAAUACAAUAUAAAUGGAGUUCAACGUUUAUCGGUUUAUGUUUACAAUAUUUAAGUGUAUUUCCGGUCUGCGCUGAUUGGUUGAUAUUAAUUGACCUGUGACAUCCUAAUUGAAAGGCGGCACGCAAUCAAUGGUGUCUGUUGUCACACUAAACACUAAUUCUUGAAAAACAAUUAAAAAGAUAUUUAAAAAAAUUAUUUCCGAUAGUGGUCCCCCUGAAUUAUAUUCAAAUUUAGGGUGUGUUGCAGUUCUAUAUUUUGCUGUGUGCAUUUAUGUUUGUUCUGGGAUAAAAUAUUCAAUUUUACCUUAAAGUGGAAGUCAAGUCUGUUCUGUUCAUCGGUUCUGCUCAUAACAAUGUGAGGACCCUCUAAAGUGAACAUUGCCCAAAUUUCGAAUGUAUCGAAUUUUUCUGAACAUAAACUCUAUUUUAUAUUAAUUUAAAAGCAUAGCAAACCAAAACGGCGCCAGAUAUUCAGACAGUACAUCGUAUCUUAAAAAAUACAGCAGUUCAAAAUGUAAACAAACCGUUUGUUUACUUUACAAACUUGACUUCCACUUCAAAUUGAUGUUUCAUGAAAUUUAGUUCAAUUUAGUAGAGAGAUGAGUGUAAUUUAUUAAUAAUGAAAAUUAAAGCCCAGCAAUAUUUGACUUUCAGACAAGACAUAGCAAAAAUAUAAAAUUUAUUGGCUAACGUUCGGUUGUAUUGUUCACAACAUCUUCAGAGCAAUUGAAUUUAUUUACAAGCGUCUAUUAUAUAUAUAUACAAAUUUUUAAACGGUUACAUUAGUGCAUAAAGUAUUUAGGGUAUUUUAAAGCUAAAUUUGUUUCAAAAUUUGUCAUUUUAGUGAAAUGAUGUGGAACACAAUGCAUUCUUUUCUGGUUGUCUUGGUUGUUGCAAGGAGACAUUGGGCAUUGUAAUGAAUGGAUGACAAUGUGUGUCGCUGGCAAACCUACACUAUGUGCAAUUUUCCUGGUGGUUAUCCUGGGCAAAUGUGUAAUAUCACAAGGGAUAUCUUGGGCAAAUGUGCAAUAUCACAAGGGAUAUCUUGGUACGAUUAUUAAAGAAGGAUGAUAUUGUAAGGUUAGUGGAUAUUUAUAAUAGUGAUAAAAUGGGGGUUUCCUGCAAAUAAGAACAAAGUAAGGCUGCCCAAUUAAGUGGAAACAAUAUUGCGGAGUGUAACAAUCUAACAAUAUGACAGACUGAUUAAUUAAUCUGUAAAAAUGAUGCAUGUUUAGAAAAAGCACAAAUUGCGG